UCAUGGGUCAGGUCUAGUCACAGUUGAUCAUCAUGAGUCAGGUCUAGUCACAGUUGAUCGUCAUGAGUCAGGUCAAGUUACAGUUCAUAAUCAUGAGUCUAGUCUAGUCACAGUUGAUCGUCAUGAGUCAAGUCAAGUCAUAACUGAUCUUCAUGAGUCCAGUCAAGUCUCAUCUGAUCUGCCAGAGCUUCGUCACAUCUCAGCCGUUCAUCCAGAGCCUCUUCACAUCUCAGCUGUUCGUCCAGAGUCACGUCACAUCACAUCUGAUCAUCCAGAAUCACAUCUCAUCACAGCUGAUCAUCCAGAGUAAUGUCACGUCCUAUCUGUUACACCCAGAUUAUAAAGGUCAGCCCUUCGGUAUCCCAGUCUGGUAUCCAGUGUGAGGGAUGCACCG